CAUCACCGAAGCCCCCUGGAGCCUAGAUGACUGUCACAAACAGCUGCAUCACAAACAGCUGCAUCACCGAAGCCCCCUGGAGCCUAGGUGAUGGCUCACAAAGCUAGGAACCUGGAGCACACUGCACAGUCUGCAGGCAGCGCAACAGGAUGGAAAGUGUACUCUCCAGUCACUUGAUCAGUGAGAAGAUUCAACAAUCAAGACUAGAAAAAUUCUAGCUUUUCUUUCAUCUCUUAUGAAUGUGACCACAAUAACUUCUAUAUCAAAGAAGAGUCUGGACUCUGAUGAUCUCCGUGUGGUUCCCUGGACAUACAAAGACUCUUCCUUCUUAAUGUCCCUACCCAAGAUGAUUAGGAGUAUAUCUGCUGUAGUAAUUUGUAUCACUUACGCUCCAGAAAAACUGCCAUGGCUUUGAUGCUC